AACUGUGAGUGUAGGGACUCUUAUGUUGAUAAAUUUAGCUCUGGGACGUGACGUGGGCCUCUUUCCUCUCAGCUGUUGUUUUGGGAGCGCCGGCCGGCGUGUGAGCUGCUGCUAGCCGUGAUCAUUAUCCGGUAGAUUCUGUACCUUCAGCCACUUUUGGCGUGGAACCGCACUCUGCUGUGAACUGGCUUUCACUUCGCGCUGCCUAUACUGCACCGGUGUUGCCUCUCUUUGGUUGGUGUGUCGCCCCAUCAUCUGUGCCCUGUGGCAGGCCUGAUUUGUGGUGCUUACGCCGGCCUUGGAGUAGCCAAAGGGGUUGGCCCCUGUGUAUCUGACUGCAGUCAGUGGAUGUGUGUGGUCCAAAUUGCGAUUUGUUCCGAACCACGGAUUUAUGAUCGGGUUAGCGGUGCCUCUCUGACGCUGGGGAUUGCUAGCUACACUCCUCGGAGGUUGCUGUUUUGUUGCCAUCAAACUCUGCGCCAGUUCCGAACUGGCUCCACCUGCUCGUCCUGUUUUGGGCCCACGGUUUAUUUGUUUAGUUUUCCUGUGACCUCACUUUCAUUUGGUUUAAUUAUUUUUCAUUUGUGUUGGUUUGUUGUUUUCUGGCCCAUUUCUUGGGACAUCAGCCUCCUCGCGGCGCAUUGCGCAGGGCUGGUUACUACCUGUGUGUGUUGAGUGUGCGUGUGUGUGUUCGGUGUGUCUGUGUGCGUGUGUGAUUGUCAUCUAGGCACGGCACCGGAGACAAGUGUACACCCCCCUCCCGUCAACCUACGGCGGUGUAGUUCUCCCCUCUCUCUUGCUACACGAAAGUUAAGUUGCAUCUAGUCAUCACUGUGUAUGCAAAUUGUGUAAUACAUUAGCACGUGUCAUUCUCGCCAUUAAGUGUCUCUCUCUUCUCUCCUCCCUGGAUAGGUAUGGAGUUGCCAUAGCGCACCGGUCUUCGGGUGGUGGAUUCCCUCACUUUUCCAUUGCUGUGUGCACUUGGGUGACUAUUACUAUUUUGCUGUGCUUAGUAGCAGUAGUAGAUGUGUGUUUUCUUUUUAUUUUGUGUGAGUACUUUAUUGUGUGUGUUUAUUUUGUGUGGCCUUUUCCCUAGUCUUUAACUAUCCCUUUUCAACCGUGCUGCUAGUGGUUAGCCUAAGCCUAGCCCCUUUAAGAGUGACACCAUUGCCCCGUCUCCCCCCAUACGGGGGCGUUUCGUAUGAUUAAGUGUAGCCUCCCUCCUCUCUCGCACAGGUGCCGUGCGGGUGUACAUGUAGUGUGUGUAUGU